rnacentral:rRNA from 1 species
AUGAACGCUGGCGGCGUGCCUAAUACAUGCAAGUCGAGCGAACGGACGAGAAGCUUGCUUUUCUGAUGUUAGCGGCGGACGGGUGAGUAACACGUGGAUAACCUACCUAUAAGACUGGGAUAACUUCGGGAAACCGGAGCUAAUACCGGAUAAUAUUUUGAACCGCAUGGUUCAAAAGUGAAAGACGGUCUUGCUGUCACUUAUAGAUGGAUCCGCGCUGCAUUAGCUAGUUGGUAAGGUAACGGCUUACCAAGGCAACGAUGCAUAGCCGACCUGAGAGGGGGAUCGGCCACACUGGAACUGGGACACGGUCCAGGCUCCUACGGGAGGCAGCAGUAGGGAAUCUUCCGCAAGGGGCGAAAGCCUGACGGAGCAACGCCGCGGAGGUGAUGAAGGUCUUCGGAUCGUAAAACUCUUUUAUUAGGGAAGAAAAUAUGGUUAAGUAACCGUGCACAUCUUGACGGUACCUAAGCAAAAAGCCACGGCUAACUACGU